GACGAACGCUGGCGGCGUGCUUAACACAUGCAAGUCGAACGGAAAGGCCCUGCUUGCCGGGUACUCGAGUGGCGAACGGGUGAGUAACACGUGGGUGGUCUGCCCUGCACUUCGGGAUAAGCCUGGGAAACUGGGUCUAAUACCGGAUAGGAGCCAUUUUUAGUGUGAUGGUUGGAAAGUUUUUUCGGUGUAGGAUGAGCUCGCGGCCUAUCAGCUUGUUGGUGGGGUAAUGGCCUACCAAGGCGGCGACGGGUAGCCGGCCUGAGAGGGUGGACGGCCACAUUGGGACUGAGAUACGGCCCAGACUCCUACGGGAGGCAGCAGUGGGGAAUAUUGCACAAUGGGCGCAAGCCUGAUGCAGCGACGCCGCGUGGGGGAUGACGGCCUUCGGGUUGUAAACUCCUUUCGCUAGGGACGAAGCUUUUUGUGACGGUACCUAGAUAAGAAGCACCGGCUAACUACG
rnacentral:rRNA from 1 species